rnacentral:rRNA from 1 species
GUAACAAGGUCUCCGUUGGUGAACCAGCGGAGGGAUCAUUACUGAGUUUACGCUCUACAACCCUUUGUGAACAUACCUAUAACUGUUGCUUCGGCGGGUAGGGUCUCCGUGACCCUCCCGGCCUCCCGCCCCCGGGCGGGUCGGCGCCCGCCGGAGGAUAACCAAACUCUGAUUUAACGACGUUUCUUCUGAGUGGUACAAGCAAAUAAUCAAAACUUUUAACAACGGAUCUCUUGGUUCUGGCAUCGAUGAAGAACGCAGCGAAAUGCGAUAAGUAAUGUGAAUUGCAGAAUUCAGUGAAUCAUCGAAUCUUUGAACGCACAUUGCGCCCGCCAGCAUUCUGGCGGGCAUGCCUGUUCGAGCGUCAUUUCAACCCUCAAGCUCUGCUUGGUGUUGGGGCCCUACAGCUGAUGUAGGCCCUCAAAGGUAGUGGCGGACCCUCCCGGAGCCUCCUUUGCGUAGUAACUUUACGUCUCGCACUGGGAUCCGGAGGGACUCUUGCCGUAAAACCCCCAAUUUUCCAAAGGUUGACCUCGGAUCAGGUAGGAAUACCCGCUGAACUUAAGCAUAUCAAUAA